GAUCUUUAGGAAACUGCCUGCUGUUUGUUGUUACCCCUUGUUCCCUCCGUAGGAGGUUUGGACAGGCAAUCUCUCACUGACGUGCUUCUAACUUUCAUUGUCACCUUUAUCAACAGAUUCGCCCCAUGGAGAGGACAAAUUGGAUUCAUGACCAGACCUCUGAGGGGCUGCGUCUCCAGGUAGCUGGUGGGAAGCUGUCUGGAAACAAACAUUUUCCAGCUCACUCGACCCUCACAUUUCCAGAGCAGAAGAAUACCCUGAAAGUGUUUUUCACGUACGAUUUCAGAAUCCUCACGAAAAGCCUCAAGUGUUUCUCCAGUUAUAGGGAGAUUCUAAAAACGUGUGGAUCAAGGGGUACCGCUUCUACUUAUUAACUUACUUGUGGAUGGCUAUGAUGUGAGCUCAGAUUAUGUGCAGUGGUUGCCUAAAACUUGGUGGGUCCAAUGGAGAUGGAGCCAUGUCAUCCUGUUCGUCACCUUCAGGGUGUCCCGCAGCACAGUGUGGUGCUCACACCUGUCUGCGUUCACCAUGAGUCAUCGCUGCACCUGCAUCUUGUGGCCUUUAUGCGAUAGUGAUCAUAAUGGUAAGUGCAGCAGCUAAUGUUCAUUGAGUGUUUGCCAUUCAC
rnacentral:lncRNA from 1 species